rnacentral:rRNA from 1 species
UACGGGGGGGGCAAGCGUUGUUCGGAAUUACUGGGCGUAAAGGGCGCGUAGGCGGUUUGCUAAGUUGGAUGUGAAAACUCUGGGCUUAACCCAGAGCCUGCAUCCAAAACUGGCAAACUUGAGUACUGGAGGGGAAAGCGGAAUUCCUGGUGUAGCGGUGAAAUGCGUAGAUAUCAGGAGGAACACCGGUGGCGAAGGCGGCUCACUGGCCCGGUACUGACGCUGAGGUGCGAAAGCGUGGGGAGCAAACAGG